AUGUCGUUCCACCGCGGCAGCAGCUCCGACACCGGCGGCGACGACGGACCCAGCGCGUGGCCGUCGAGCCUGAGUACGCCGGAGACGGAGGAGCUGCACCGGUUCGGGCUCCUCGUGCCGCCGGGUUGCCGUCUUCCGCACGACUGGAAGCUCGACAAGGACGGCUACCCGACACGCGGGCCAGGCGCCACCGCCGAGGAGAAGCGGACCGGCGGCCGCAACAACAUCGCCGGCCGUCACGCGUUCUGGGACGGCAAAGAGUACGCCGCCGUCAUCGGCGCGUACCGGCUGGCGGAGUUCGGCGUCACACCUGACCUCGUCGGCGACCUUCGCCGCCUUCUUGUCCCGCGCCCUCGUCCAGCAGCGCGCGGCCGUCGGGCUCCUCCCGCACCUGCGCCGGCACCCGCCGAUCCCCCCGCCCCGCCGGAGGUGGAACUGCCGCCGGAGCAGUUAGUUCUUCGGGAGGACGGUGAUCCCGACGAUACGCCGGGUUACCUCGUCGCCCUACGCGCGUCGGCGGCUGCAGCGGCGGCUGCAGAGGCGGCGGCGGCUGCAAGGGAGGCCGCCGAGCAGGCGGCAGCGAUCCAGGCGGCGGCGGCGAUUCCGCCAGUGGUCCCGCAGGCGGAGGCGGAGCCGCCGGAGUCGUCGGACGACGACGUCAUCGACUGGGAGCGGCUGGCCCAGGACAGCAACGACGACGACGAGGGCGGGGGUGACGGCGGUGACGUCGGGGAGGUCAUCGAUCUGUUGGGUAGCGACGACGAGGAGUAG
rnacentral:rRNA from 1 species